rnacentral:rRNA from 1 species
AAAUUGAAGAGUUUGAUCAUGGCUCAGAUUGAACGCUGGCGGCAGGCCUAACACAUGCAAGUCGAACGGUAACAGAAAUCAGCUUGCUGAUUUGCUGACGAGUGGCGGACGGGUGAGUA